UACGAAGGGUGCAAGCGUUACUCGGAAUUACUGGGCGUAAAGCGUGCGUAGGCGGUUAUUUAAGUCGGAUGUGAAAGCCCCGGGCUCAACCUGGGAAUUGCAUUCGAGACUGAAUAGCUAGGGUGCGGUAGAGGGAAGCGGAAUUUCCGGUGUAGCGGUGAAAUGCGUAGAUAUCGGAAGGAACAUCAGUGGCGAAAGCGGCUUCCUGGACCAGCACCGACGUUCAGGCACGAAAGCGUGGGGAGCAAACAGG
rnacentral:rRNA from 1 species